rnacentral:rRNA from 1 species
UGAAAUGCGUAGAUAUAUGGAAGCAACACCAGUGGCGAAGGCGGCUGUCUGGUCUGUAACUGACGCUGAGGCUCGAAAGCAUGGGUAGCGAACAGGAUUAGAUACCGUGGUAGUCCAUGCCGUAAACGAUGAUUACUAAGUGUUGGAGGGUUUCCGCCCUUCAGUGCUGCAGCUAACGCAUUAAGUAAUCCGCCUGGGGAGUACGACCGCAAGGUUGAAACUCAAAAGAAUUGACGGGGGCCCGCACAAGCGGUGGAGCAUGUGGUUUAAUUCGAAGCUACGCGAAGAACCUUACCAGGUCUUGACAUCUUCUGCCAACCUAAGAGAUUAGGCGUUCCCUUCGGGGACAGAAUGACAGGUGGUGCAUGGUUGUCGUCAGCUCGUGUCGUGAGAUGUUGGGUUAAGUCCCGCAACGAGCGCAACCCUUAUUACUAGUUGCCAGCAUUCAGUUGGGCACUCUAGUGAGACUGCCGGUGACAAACCGGAGGAAGGUGGGGACGACGUCAAAUCAUCAUGCCCCUUAUGACCUGGGCUACACACGUGCUACAAUGGAUGGUACAACGAGUUGCGAAACCGCGAGGUUUAGCUAAUCUCUUAAAACCAUUCUCAGUUCGGACUGUAGGCUGCAACUCGCCUACACGAAGUCGGAAUCGCUAGUAAUCGCGGAUCAGCAUGCCGCGGUGAAUACGUUCCCGGGCCUUGUACACACCGCCCGUCACACCAUGAGAGUUUGUAACACCCAAAGCCGGUGGGGCAACCUUUAGGAGCUAGCC